rnacentral:lncRNA from 1 species
CUUGGGUUAAGCUGGGGACACAAACUUGGGCUGACGAUGGAGGAGUUUAAGACGCACUUCUAACUAAGAGGCCUCGGUAAAGUAACCAUCUCCUGUGUUUCCCAAAAGGCCAGAAAUAGUCUUCAAACGUGUCAUCUUCACAUUGGCCUGGCUGGUGUUUGAGUAUAUCUCCUAAGUCCAAGGGGCAGAAACUUCAUCUUAACUCAGUAGUGUCCAGAGGCAGGACCUUUAAGGAGUAGUGAGCCUGUGGGGCUUUGGAGUGGAUUGCUGCUGCUGCAGGGGAGUGGGCUGGUCAUCCUGAGAGGGGGUCAGUUAUAAAGGGGUCAGGCCUUCUCUUGCCCUCUGCCCUCCACCACAGCAUGCCAGCCCCAUGCUCUUGGGUUUCCAGCCUCCAGAUCUGUGAGCGGCAGCAAUGGCUACUGAUACCAAUCCCUGGGUGGCUUAACAGUGUGAAACACAUGACCUUAUUAACCCAGCUUGUCCCCUGGCCCUGUAUGUGGACACCAGUAGGAACACCAGCCAACCAACAGAUACACCACCUGCUGUCUCUUUGAAAAAGUUGUUAUGUUUUUAGAGGUCUAUUCUUUUGAAAAAAGUAAUGGAUGAAUGCUUAGAUGUCUGAAAGUAUUCGUAAAUUAAUUGU